rnacentral:misc_RNA from 1 species
UUGAAUUUAGACUUGAUGGGUUGUCGCUGGCUCUAAACAGAGCAUGUGCACGCCUGUCUUGACUUAAUAUUCAUCCACCUGUGCACCUUUUGUAGUCUUUUUGGGGGCUGGGGAAGUGGCAGCUCAGGCUGUUUACUGAACCUCCCACUGAAGACUAUGUUUAUAUUCAUAUACCAAGUAGUAUGUAACAGAAUGUUGUCAAUGGGCACUUGUGCCUAUAUAAAAAACUAUA